rnacentral:rRNA from 1 species
CCUCCGGGUGGCAGCAGUGGGGAAUAUUGCACAAUGGGCGAAAGCCUGAUGCAGCGACGCCGCGUGAGCGAAGAAGUAUUUCGGAAUGUAAACCUCUAUCAGCAGGGAAGAAAAUGACGGUACCUGACUAAGAAGCUCCGGCUAAAUACGUGCCAGCAGCCGCGGUAAUACGUAUGGAGCAAGCGUUAUCCGGAAUUACUGGGUGUAAAGGGAGCGUAGACGGAAGUGUAAGUCUGAUGUGAAAGGCGGAGGCUCAACCGCGGAACUGCAUUGGAAACUGUAAUUCUUGAGUGCCGGAGAGGAAAGCGGAAUUCCUAGUGUAGCGGUGAAAUGCGUAGAUAUUAGGAGGAACACCAGUGGCGAAGGCGGCUUACUGGACGGUAACUGACGUUGAGGCUCGAAAGUGUGGGGAGCAAACAGGAUUAGAUACCCCGGUAGUC